CCGGUGGGAAUCACAAACAACGUUACCUAGUGACAGGUGGUGACAGGUGUUUUCUGCUCUUUGGUAAAUCACAAACAUAAAUAUUUUGUCUUUAAAGACUCUUCUUCUACGCUUAAAAUAAGGUGUUAACAUAUUUUAAAGUCAGUUACAGUUAAUUUUUAAAAGUAAAAACAUGCCAGCCUUUGGACUCACCUGUGACCUUUGACCCAUUUCAAAAACUGUGUAAGUGGGCCAAGAUAGAGAUAAAAGACAUAUAAUACUUCAAGUUUGCAGGGGUUGAACCCCACAUUUAUGUUAAAUCUGUGAAAAAUAAAAGCCUAAGAAAAAGUCCACGUGCAGGGAGAGUAGAUUAUAUUAAUGACAACAACCACAAAGUGCUAAUUCAGGUGUGAGGAUACUAAUGUGGUGGAGACAAUGCAACCAUACAAUAAGGAGGAUGAGGAGGAGGAUGAAGAAGAGGAGUGCUUGAACUAAGUGCAUCUAUACUCAGGAUCAGUCAGCAAAGGAGUGUGCGGGGUGGCGCCGGUGGUCUAGCGGUCUAGGCGAGCGCCCCAUGUACAGAGGCCAUAUUCUAGAGAGGACAGGACUGUGGAGAGAGCAGGAAGCUGGAAGAAAGAGUGGGGAGUGACAUGUAGGGAAGGGGGCGAACUGAACCCAGGCUGCCCACUUGAGGACUCCUACCUCUGUGCAUGGGGCUUCACCAGCAGGCCAAACUGGCACCCUUGGGCGUGUGCAUUUUUAUUAAGAGAGACAGACGUGUGUGUUCAUGUGAAUAUGAACCUGGUAACCCUCCUGUCAAGACCGCUGACCGUAUAUAAAGAUGGACUAGAGUGUCUCCAGCUGUCUGUUGUCCAAAAGUGAUGCCAAAACACCCCCACAAUUGGCGCUGACAUUUUGCACAAUUGCAGCCAGUGUCUGUCAUGAACUGCAGAAAUGCCAAGAACCCUUCAGGUUGGUACAGACCGCAGAAU